GACGAACGCUGGCGGCGUGCCUAAUACAUGCAAGUAGAACGCUGAAGGAGGACCUUGCUUCUCUGGAUGAGUUGCGAACGGGUGAGUAACGCGUACUUAACCUGCCUGUUAGCGGGGGAUAACUAUUGGAAACGAUAGCUAAUACCGCAUAAUAGCAGUUAUUGCAUGAUAUCUGUUUGAAAGCUGCAAUUGCACCACUACCAGAUGGACCUGCGUUGUAUUAGCUAGUUGGUGGGGUAACGGCUCACCAAGGCGACGAUACAUAGCCGACCUGAGAGGGUGAUCGGCCGCACUGGGACUGAGACACGGCCCAGACUCCUACGGGAGGCAGCAGUAGGGAAUCGUCGGCAAGGGACGGAAGUCUGACCGAGAAACGCCGAGUGAGUGAAGAAGGUUGUCGGAUCGGAAAGCUCGGUUGUAAGAGAAGAACGAGUGUGAGAGUGGAAAGUUCACACUGUGACGGUAUCUGAACAGAAAGGGACGGCUAACUACGUG
rnacentral:rRNA from 1 species